GGGGAGUACGGUCGCAAGACCGAAACUCAAAGGAAUUGGCGGGGGCCUGCACAAGCGGUGGAGCAUGUGGUUUAAUUCGAUACAACGCGCAAAACCUUACCAGCCCUUGACAUAUGAACAACAAAACCUGUCCUUAACAGGAUGGUACUGACUUUCAUACAGGUGUUGCAUGGCUGUCGUCAGCUCGUGUCGUGAGAUGUUUGGUCAAGUCCUAUAACGAGUGAAACCCUCGUUUUGUGUUGCUGAGACAUGCGCCUAAGGAGAAAUUGCCACCGAGUGACGUGCCAGCGCUACUACUUGAUUGAAUGCCAGCACGUAGCUGUGCUUUUAGCAAGAAUUUCACCAUUGGGAGCCAGUGCCUUUUGAAGCACUUUCACGUGUGAACCGAAGUCGUCUUGUCCAAGACCCACGGAGACCUACCUAUAGUGACGUCAAAGUACUAGUGAGCAUGGAGGUUUGGUUGAAAUUGGUUACGACGACGUCGAGUUGGCGGCAGAGGAAGACUCGGCAUGAAGGCCAGAAAAUGGUGUGGAACGUAGUGGUAAUAGUACGCGCCCCGCUUCGAAACAAAGAAAAAGGUGCGUGCCGCACUCACGAGGGACUGCCAGUGAGAUACUGGAGGAAGGUGGGGAUGACGUCAAGUCUGCAUGGCCCUUAUGGGCUGGGCCACACACGUGCUACAAUGGCAAUGACAAUGGGAAGCAAGGCUGUAAGGCGGAGUGAAUCCGGAAAGAUUGCCUCAGUUCGGAUUGUUCUCUACAACUCGGGAACAUGAAGUUAAAAUCGCUAGUAAUCGCGGAUCAACAUGCCGCGGUGAAUAUGUACCCGGGCCCUGUACACACCGCCCGUCACACCCUGGGAAUUGGUUUCGCCCGAAGCAUCGGACCAAUGAUCACCCAUGACUUCUGUGUACCACUAGUGCCACAAAGGCCUUUGGUGGUCUUAUUGGCGCAUACCACGGUGGGGUCUUCGACUAGGGUGAAGUCGUAACAAGGUAGCCGUAGGGGAACCUGUGGCUC
rnacentral:rRNA from 1 species